rnacentral:sRNA from 1 species
AGAAGGCGUAUAUUCUUAUAUUACGAUAUUUCCUUUCAUUCAAUAUCUCGUCAAUCUUUUCAGGGUUAUUGAUGCCAUGCUUUUAGCUGACAAAUACUUAAAAUUUCAUGGAAAAAAUGGAUUUAUUCCACUUUCUGAGUGCAUUUACGACAUGGAGGCUUACAGUUACCUGACUGAUGACGUCAUCAACAUGGUAUUACAUUCCAAAAGCCAAGAACCGGAAAUGGUGAAGGCUAGAGAGCUCAUUAACAGAAUCUAUGUCAGGAAACUUUACAAAUGUGUUCACGAGACCAAGCCGUUGAGGCCCGAGAUUUCAAAAGUAAUGAU